GCGGGGAUAGCUCAGUUGGGAGAGCGUCAGACUGAAGUUCAACUUCAAUCAUUAUAUCUGAAGGUCGUGUGUUCAAUCCACACUCACCGCA
rnacentral:tRNA from 1 species